UCCCUUUAACAGUAUUAACAGGACGUAGUUCAGAGCACGGACAUUAUUUGCUGUUGUUCAAGCUGUUGUUGUUUUCUACUGAGUGCGUUCAUACACAAAACCACUCAUACUAAGCUACACUCCAAACUACUCUGUACUACUCUGCCAUACUCUCUGCUACCUGUACUACAAUCAUUCACUCAACCAACUCCAAGGACUGUAAACCUCUACAAGUCAUAAACCAUUAAAGUGUACUUCGUCUCUGACCGGACGACUUAUGUCUGCUCAAUUUCCACCAGCACCCAUACUAGUCUACCUCACAGUAAUGAUCUAUCAGUAUUUAGGAGAUUAUAGUUUUUGCAUACUUAAUAUUGGGCUUUAAUAAAGGUUAUGAAAAUAUAAUGAAUUUAUAUGCAUUUUUAUUCAGUCACUUAAAUGAAACAUUUUCAAAGUCUUUGAACAGAUCUUGAAGGAUUUGCUAUCCUGUGGCUCCCUCGUGUGGACAACAUUAGCAUUAUGGCCUUCAUCUCUAAACAAAAUUAAGAUGAAAUGGCCAAUAUUUCUUGAAUGAUUACAGAUGUUUAAUGAUUAGUUUACUGAUAAUAUAGCCACAUUAAACUCGAAUUUACUGAUUCUGUAUAUUUUUUUCAUGCUUUAAGAGUUUAAUUUUCGACUUACAUUUUUAAGCAGGCGUCAAAAAACUCCCAAGGCGUCAAAAAGCGAAGCAUGGUCAAGCGCCUUUAGCGUCACUAUGAAGACGCCAAAAGGUGCCCCUCGGCGUCACUAUAUCGACGAACCGGGACCUACAUUGCUUUCAAUGGGAAUCUUUUAGCGUCAGUACACAGACGUGAAGGGCACGAGAAUGAUGAUUGCUAUGAAAUCACGUUCAAGAAGUCUCAUUCAGCACACAUCGCGAUAUUUGCCAUCAGUUUACGUGUGCCACAGGUUGGUUAUUAUUAUUUUUAGCUGAAAAGACGUAAAGGAAGCAGUCAGCCCAGUCGUGUUUGUGGAGAGGUAUUCCUUCAGAAAUGGAGAAGACAGAAAGCUGUGUAGGUAGACAUUUGCAGCGGAUUACUUGCAGAUAACGCUGUCCUUCUCCAUCAUGCACCAGGACUCACCUCUUUAACUCUUUAUCCCCCACACAUACAGAAAUGGUACCUGGAUCAGUGUUAAGACUUUGCAGUGGUUUGUUUUUUUGCAGAAGAUGCAACUUUGUUUUAAGUAUGAGCUUAUGAUGGAUACAUUUUGACCUUCCAGCAACCCAUAUAUUGUAUACAGAACCAGUAAUGAAAACAAUAGUUAAAAAUAGUCUUUUUCGUAUUGAUAAAGCAUUGUGUUAUCUUUUUCAAGCUUCAUACAGUAAACUUUACUUAGUGUCUUCCUAAUGCUUUUAUCAUAAAAAGCAUCAGUUCUCAUCAGGAGUUUUAGUAAAGGACAUAUUCAUGCACAGCCAUCCCCUAGUUCCAGUCAUGCAGCAAAUUCAUGAUGCUAUUGUCAAAGGUAUAUUUCUGCGUUUGUAUGUAGCAGGUGUUUGUUUUCCUAUACACUUUCUCUAUCUUCCAUUGUUCGGACAAUUAAUGUUUAUUUGGU